rnacentral:lncRNA from 1 species
UCUCUCUCUCUCUCUCUCUCUCUCUCUCUCUCUCUCUCUCUCUCUCUCUCUCUCUCUCUCCCCUUUGGUCAUCACCUCUCUCCUGCUCGCUAACUCUCUUCCCCUUCAACCCUGCCAUAAAGGACGAUAAUUUAAAUUUUGGCAGUGAAUCAUGACAUUUAUUCAACUGGUCUCCAAACCACGAGAAGCUGGGUCUUACACUGUUCAGAACAAGCAAUAGCAAAGAGCAGUUCAGCGAGGAAAGGGUUAAUUGGGAUAGCUUUGAAUUCAUGGCCAUCCUGUCUCUGCCUGAAACUACAGGUUUUUAUAAUUGGACGUGCCGGUGCCGGCCUCUUAUAUCAUCAGUUGGAAGUGGGCAUAGAGAUCGGUUUAAGGCAAACCUCAAUGAAUUUGAGGCUAGCCUGAAAUAUAUGAGUCCCUGCCUCUAAAACAAAAACAAAAAAACAAAAAAACAAAAAACAACAACCAAAACCCAGAACCAAAGGCCCAAUCCCAGGGAAGAAGAAGCCGCCUAUCUUUACGCCUUUCUCUUCAGUCAAUGUGGUCAACUUCUCCAAGGCCAAGUCAGAGAUGCUGCCUCCUGUGGGGCAGAUGAACAAGUAAAAGACUUCUCUUGGUACCAGAAGAGUAGAGUGGGGGUUGAGGGGGGAAGUGGGUGGUCUCGUCCACUUACCUUAUUUUUUGUUUGUUAUUUUUCAUCAUUCCCUAUGAAGACCAGGGAGGCAUUCAGGAGGAGUUUGAACAGAGCAAUGAACUGUCUUCCUACCCAAUUCAUAUAUUCAGCCCUUGUUUCUACUGAGAUAUGUCUCCAGCCAUUAAGUUGUCUCUGGUCAUGGAGUUUCAUCACAGCAAUAGGAACCCUAAGACAUACAUACCUGUAAUCUGGAAUUGGACGUGGGAGGACCGAGAGUUCAAGCUGCCACACAUUUGGAAAACUUGUAUAUUUAUGUAAAGCUCCAAUAUCCAGUCUCAAGGAUGACUCAGUAUGGUAAAGACCCUCGCUGCCAGGCUUGAUGACUUACGCUUGAGUCCUGGAUCCCACAUGGUGGAAAAGUCAACUUUCACAAGUUUUUGACCUUCACAGUAGUCACAUACAAACAACAAAACCCUAGUUUGGGACCGUAGAGAUGGCUCAGCCAUCGUCUGUUGAGAGCCCUUCACAUAGCUUCUCACAACUGCCUGUAACUCCUGUUUCCAGGGAGUUGGUGCACAUGUAUAACAUGUGCACUCAUACACGUGAAAAUAAAUGGAUCUUUAAAAUACAAAAAUAAAAACAAAGUUUUAGGUUGGUCCUGU